GUACUUGCUUCGGCAGCACACAUAUACUAAAUUUGGAAUGAUAGAGAAGAUUAGCAUGGCCCCUGAGCAAGGAUGACUCACAAAUUUGUGAAAUGUUCUAUAUUUUU